GUCAGGAUGGCCGAGCGGUCUAAGGCGCUGCGUUCAGGUCGCAGUCCACUUCUGUUGGGCGUGGGUUCGAAUCCCACUUCUGACA
rnacentral:tRNA from 1 species